AUUGAACGCUGGCGGCAGGCCUAACACAUGCAAGUCGAGCGGAGCGGCGGACGGGUGAGUAAUGCCUAGGAAUCUGCCUGGUAGUGGGGGCUAACGUCCGGAAACGGGCACUAAUACCGCAUACUAUCAGAUGAGCCUAGGUCGGAUUAGCUAUUUGGUGGGGUAAAGGCUUACCAAGGCGACGAUCCGUAACUGGGCUGAGAGGAUGAUCAGUCACACUGGAACUGAGAAACGGUCCAGACUCCUACGGGAGGCAGCAGUGGGGAAUAUUGGACAAGGGGCGAAAGCCUGAUCCAGCCAUGCCGCGUGUGUGAAGAAGGUCUUCGGAUUGUAAAGCACUUUAAGUUGGGAGGCGUUACCAACAGAAUAAGCACCGGCUAACUGCGUGCCAGCAGCCGCGGUAAUAUC
rnacentral:rRNA from 1 species